rnacentral:rRNA from 1 species
UACAGGGGGGGCGAGCGUUGUUCGGAAUUACUGGGCGUAAAGGGCCAGUAGGCGGCCGACUAAGUCCGACGAUGAAACUCCCCAGGCUUAACCUGGGAACUGCGUCGGAUACUGGAUGGCUUGGAAUUCGGGAGGAGGGGAUGCAGAAUUCCAGGUGUAGCGGUGAAAUGCGUAGAGAUGCGGAGGAACACCAGUGGCGAAAGCGCU